rnacentral:rRNA from 1 species
AAAGCACUUAAGGGCGUAU